rnacentral:rRNA from 1 species
GAUGAACGCUGGCGGCGUGCCUAAUACAUGCAAGUCGAGCGAACAGACGAGGAGCUUGCUCCUCUGACGUUAGCGGCGGGCGGGUGAGUAACACGUUGAUAACCUACCUAUAAGACUGGGAUAACUUCGGGAAACCGGAGCUAAUACCGGAUAAUAUAUUGAACCGCAUGGUUCAAUAGUGAAAGACGGUUUUGCUGUCACUUAUAGAUGGAUCCGCGCCGCAUUAGCUAGUUGGUAAGGUAACGGCUUACCAAGGCAACGAUGCGUAGCCGACCUGAGAGGGUGAGCGGCCACACUGGAACUGAGACACGGUCCAGACUCCUACGGGAGGCAGCAGUAGGGAAUCUUACGCAAUGGGCGAAAGCCUGACGGAGCAACGCCGCGUGAGUGAUGAAGGUCUUCGGAUCGUAAAACUCUGUUAUUAGGGAAGAACAAAUGUGUAAGUAACUAUGCACGUCUUGACGGUACCUAAUCAGAAAGCCACGGCUAACUACGUG